CGGACGGGUGAGUAAUGCCUAGGAGUCUGCCUGGUAGUGGGGGACAACGUUUCGAAAGGAACGCUAAUACCGCAUACGUCCUACGGGAGAAAGUGGGGGAUCCUCGGACCUCACGCUAUCAGAUGAGCCUAGGUACGAUUAGCUAGUUGGUGAGGUAAAGGCUCACCAAGGCGACGAUCGUUAACUGGUCUGAGAGGAUGAUCAGUCACACUGGAACUGAGACACGGUCCAGACUCCUACGGGAGGCAGCAGUGGGGAAUAUUGGACAAUGGGCGAAAGCCUGAUCCAGCCAUGCCGCGUGUGUGAAGAAGGUCUUCGGAUUGUAAAGCACUUUAAGUUGGGAGGAAGGGCAGUAAGUUAAUACCUUGCUGUUUUGACGUUACCAACAGAAUAAGCACCGGCUAACU
rnacentral:rRNA from 1 species